UACAGGGGGGCAAGCGUUGUUCGGAAUUACUGGGCGUAAAGGGUCUGUAGGUGGCCAACUAAGUCAGACGUGAAAUCCCUCAGCUUAACUGGGGAACUGCGUCUGAUACUGGAUGGCUUGAGUGUGGGAGAGGAAUGCGGAAUUCCAGGUGUAGCGGUGAAAUGCGUAGAUAUCUGGAGGAACACCGGUGGCGAAGGCGGGCACUUCGUCGGAUUCC
rnacentral:rRNA from 1 species